GACGUAGGGCGCGAGCGUUGUCCGGAUUUAUUGGGCGUAAAGAGCUCGUAGGCGGCUUGUUGCGUCGGCUGUGAAAACCCAUGGCUUAACCGUGGGCUUGCAGCCGAUACGGGCAGGCUAGAGUUCGGUAGGGGAGACUGGAAUUCCUGGUGUAGCGGUGAAAUGCGCAGAUAUCAGGAGGAACACCGAUGGCGAAGGCAGGUCUCUGGGCUGACACUGACGCUCAUGCACGAAAGCGUGGGGAGCGAACAGG
rnacentral:rRNA from 1 species